GCAUUCGUGGUGUAGUGGUCAGCACGCUCGGCGCGUAUUCGAGAGGUCCGUGGUUCGAGUCCCGGAGAGGGCA
rnacentral:tRNA from 1 species